rnacentral:rRNA from 1 species
AUUGAACGCUAGCGGGAUGCUUUACACAUGCAAGUCGAACGGCAGCGCGGACUUCGGUCUGGCGGCGAGUGGCGAACGGGUGAGUAAUGUAUCGGAACGUGCCCAGUAGCGGGGGAUAACUACGCGAAAGCGUAGCUAAUACCGCAUACGCCCUACGGGGGUAAGCAGGGGAUCGUAAGAUCUUGCACUAUUGGAGCGGCCGAUAUCGGAUUAGCUAGUUGGUGAGGUAACGGCUCACCAAGGCGACGAUCCGUAGCUGGUUUGAGAGGACGACCAGCCACACUGGGACUGAGACACGGCCCAGACUCCUACGGGAGGCAGCAGUGGGGAAUUUUGGACAAUGGGGGCAACCCUGAUCCAGCCAUCCCGCGUGUGCGAUGAAGGCCUUCGGGUUGUAAAGCACUUUUGGCAGGAAAGAAACGUCGCGGGCUAAUACCCCGUGGAACUGACGGUACCUGCAGAAUAAGCACCGGCUAACUACGUG